UAAUACGUAGGGUGCGAGCGUUGUCCGGAAUUAUUGGGCGUAAAGGGCUCGUAGGCGGUUUGUCGCGUCGGGAGUGAAAACACACAGCUUAACUGUGUGCUUGCUUUCGAUACGGGCAGACUUGAGGCAUGCAGGGGAGAACGGAAUUUCUGGUGUAGCGGUGAAAUGCGCAGAUAUCAGAAGGAACACCGGUGGCGAAGGCGGUUCUCUGGGCAUGUUCUGACGCUGAGGAGCGAAAGUGUGGGGAGCGAACAGG
rnacentral:rRNA from 1 species